CGGGCGAGGAAGGACGUCCAAUGAGGGGGAGGAAAUUUGGCCGAGGGGACAGACGGGAGAAGGGACAUGGAGAGGAGGGGUCAGCGGAGAUAAACCGCUGAGGAGGGUGAGAAGGAAGAGCAAAAAAACAGGGAGAAAGGAGUGAGGAUCACAGGAGAAAAAGAUAAAAUGGAAGAGAAAAAGAAGGAAGGGUCAGAGUUAAAGGACGGGGAGACGGUGGCAAAGAGAACGCGGAAAGGCUGUCACUGGGAAGAAGGGAGGUUAAGGGGGUGUCACCUACAGGGCUUUACCCCAGCGGGUGAAUGGGCUGCACGGGGAAGGGGGAACUGGAAACCGAGUAGGUGGUAACAAGGGGCUGUGGGCGAAGGCAGGAGCCUGAGGGGGAUGCCUGAGCCAGGGAGCGACAGGCCCGCCAGGGACGUGGGGGUGGCGGUGGCUGGGGUGGGUCCCGCUACCUCACUGUGGCUGAGCCGGCCUGAUCCUGGGCGCAGCCUCUGCCCCGGGUGCGGCGGUGGCCAGACCAGAGCCCACACCCAGGCUGAGCCUUGUCUGUAGGUUUCCUUCAUAGAACUGCAAAGAAAUGUCAAGCACAUGAACACAGCUAGACAACAAUCCAAGGCAAGAUGAAUGCCAGAAGAUUUUGGCAUCCUGGAAAAAACUCACCAUGGACUUUAGUUAUUCAGAAUUAGCUACUUCUUCUGUAAGGCUAUCAGUAGCUAAGAGUUGAACAUGGUCAGCAUUAAAGUAUUCUGAGGGUGAGUGUAGAGUCAGAGCCACACAGAGCCCGAACCCUUUCUCCAUCUUCUGUUCCUUCCCUUGCAGUAUUCUGGAUUAACAGAAGAAAAUAGCCACCCGACCUCCAGAUGAUUUUCCACCUGUGCCUGGCAAGACUGGG